rnacentral:lncRNA from 1 species
AGUGAAUAUGCUUGGCCUAGAAUGGAGAAAUGGUUUUCAGAGAAGUCGUGUAGGUUCUUUGGGACUUUGAAGAGAGGGAGUGGCAUGUGGUCAACGCACUUCCACUGAAGAAGUUGAGUUUUGGUUUGGGGACUUUUUUGCUUUCCUUGUUAAGGGCAACAUAAGCAGCAUUUCAGGGGAUGGGCAGGCGGCUUUCUUCUGCUGGCUGGCUGACAGCGCAGGUGCUGCUGGAGCAGCAGGCACUACAGAGCCAGUGUUCUCCAGUAAGCCCUCUGCCACUGUUCUUUGCUUGUUUCACCCUUGAGGAUGGCCUGCAUGGAGGUAUCAUUUCUUAAGGAAAAUGUUCAGGAUGGAAACCUAAAAUACCUUGAGCUUCUCUGGCAUCAGGUCCCCACUUUAUGUUGGACAUAGCUCUAUCUCAUAAUGUCAAGAGCACACAGCUGUUGCUAAGACCAUGGAGGAAUAUUGACUGUUCAAGGAACCACAAGAACGCAAAGAAGGAGGAACAAAUGGGGGAUGAUGAAAUAAACAGGCAGCAGGUGCACAGACUCCUCGCAAUGCAAGGCCACUGCCAGGGAAUGCUGGAGGGGUGAUGCUAGCAAUUGAAGAUUGUCUCUCCUACCCUCUUCAAUGCCUCUUUCAGCAAUAUGAAGUUAAAACCAGAUUAGUGUUGGGUCUGAAGUUCCAAAUCCUGCUGCCUCUGUGAAGUCUUUCUGCUCAUGCUAGAAGCAAUAUCACCUCUUCUAGAAUUGUAAAGUGCCAUUUUCCAUACCACUUAUAAUAUACUGUCUUGUAGAUGUUUUUCUGUCGUCUGUAUUUCAUCCCUCUAAUAGAUGAUAAAUUUCUAGAGGAUGCCUCCCACAGAAAAAGUGCUCAAUAAAUAUCUGUCAUUGGUGAAAACAGAUUAUAGAUGAUAUUUUGUUGGAAGAUUGGAGGCAAAGUCUCAAAGAUAAUAUCAUCCUCUAUGCCACUGAGAGUAUUAGUAAGGCAGUAUUUCUGAAAGAGCACUCCACCACUACCUCUGGGAUUUUCUUGCAAGCUACUGAUACCAUCUUUGCAAGAAUGGAGGCAAACAUUCAGGCUACCAGAAUUUAAUCUCUGUAAUUUCCUUGCCAACAGCCAUAAUAAAUGCUUCUUGUUUUCAGGUGAGGUGAAAUGUGAAAAAGUGUUCAUCAGAAUUGGUGAAAUAUGGCAAUUACAACUUUAUUUAAAACAAUGCACGUCACUUUUUGAAAAUAUUUGAAAACUUCUGCUAUAGUCAAAAGAACCUUGGUCUUAAGGAAUCAGAGGACCUGGGUUGAAUACUAGUUCUCUUGACUACCUAUGGCAAGUAACAUAAACUGUCUUAACUUCCUCUGAGGAAUAAGCAAUUUACCUUGUGGGGUGAUUGCAAGAAUUAAAAGAAAAUUUAAAUUCCACAAAAGCAGAAAUAAUUCUAUCCUGUUUGCCACGAUCUUUCUAUUCUCUCAAGAAGUAACAGGGACCUAGAAAGAAUAAAUGAAACAAUGAAUGAACAGUUAAUACAUAGCAAACUACAUGUAGAACUGUCUGUGUUGGAAUGUUGCCAUGGUGGAAGGCAGUAUGUUCUAGGAGAAAAUGCAGCAAAAAAUGUUUCAGUAAGGAACAUUCUUUAGUCCCUCUCUCUAUUUUUCCCCAGUCAUUUUGUGGUUUUGGCUGCUAUUGGCUUGUAUCUGCUUCCCAAAUGCUAGUAAUUUCUUCCAAUCUAAAGUUGCUUGUUUAUUUUCUUGUAUAUUGUAAAACAAAGGCAACAUAAUUGCAGGCCAGAAAGCUAUUUUCUCACUCUUGAAUUCUUAAAAAUGUCAUUUGUUCUAGGUUUUUUUCGCAUGUAUUUAUUAUUGAAAUAUUAAGAGACACAAAAAACAUGGAAAAGAAAAAAAUCAUUAUUUCAAAUUCCUAACCUAGAGAGAAUAAUUACUAAUACUUUUUCUUACUUAAUUGGCA